rnacentral:rRNA from 1 species
AACGAACGCUGGCGGCAUGCCUAACACAUGCCAGUCGAACGAGACCUUCGGGUCUAGUGGCGCACGGGUGCGUAACGCGUGGGAACCUGCCCUUAGGUUCGGAAUAACUCCCCGAAAGGGGUGCUAAUACCGGAUAAUGUCUUCGGACCAAGGAUUUAUCGCCUUUGGAUGGGCCCGCGUUGGAUUAGCUAGUUGGUAGGGUAAAAGCCUACCAAGGCGACGAUCCAUAGCUGGUUUGAGAGGAUGAUCAGCCACACUGGGACUGAGACACGGCCCAGACUCCUACGGGAGGCAGCAGUGGGGAAUAUUGGACAAUGGGCGAAAGCCUGAUCCAGCAAUGCCGGGUGAGUGAUGAAGGCAUUAGGGUUGUAAAGCUCUAUUACCCGGGAUGAUAAUGACAGUACCGGGAGAAUAAGCUCCGGCUAACUACGUG